rnacentral:rRNA from 1 species
UCAGGAUGAACGCUGGCGGCGUGCCUAAUACAUGCAAGUCGAACGAAUCUCUUUUAGAGAUGAGUGGCGAACGGGUGAGUAAUACAUAGGUAACCUGCCCCUGUGCGGGGGAUAACAGGAGGAAACUCCUGCUAAUACCGCAUAGCCAUGAGCACCGCAUGGAGCUCAUGCCAAAUAUCCUUUCGGGGAUAGCGCAGGGAUGGACCUAUGGCGCAUUAGCUUGUUGGCGGGGCAACGGCCCACCAAGGCAACGAUGCGUAGCCGGCCUGAGAGGGCGGACGGCCACAUUGGGACUGAGACACGGCCCAGACUCCUACGGGAGGCAGCAGUAGGGAAUUUUCGGCAAUGGGGGAAACCCUGACCGAGCAACGCCGCGUGAGCGAAGAAGGCCUUCGGGUCGUAAAGCUCUGUUGUAAAGGAAGAACGGCGCAUACAGGAAAUGGUAUGCGAGUGACGGUACUUUACCAGAAAGCCACGGCUAACUACGUGCCAGCAGCCGCGGUAAUACGUAGGUGGCGAGCGUUAUCCGGAAUCAUUGGGCGUAAAGAGGGAGCAGGCGGCCGCAAGGGUCUGUGGUGAAAGACCGAAGCUAAACUUCGGUAAGCCAUGGAAACCGGGCGGCUAGAGUGCGGAAGAGGAUCGUGGAAUUCCAUGUGUAGCGGUGAAAUGCGUAGAUAUAUGGAGGAACACCAGUGGCGAAGGCGACGGUCUGGGCCGCAACUGACGCUCAUUCCCGAAAGCGUGGGGAGCAAAUAGGAUUAGAUACCCUAGUAGUCCACGCCGUAAACGAUGGUCACUAAGUGUCGGGGGUCAAACCCCGGUGCUGCAGUCAACGCAAUAAGUGACCCGCCUGAGUAGUACGUUCGCAAGAAUGAAACUCAAAGGAAUUGACGGAAGG